rnacentral:lncRNA from 1 species
UUUCGUCAUUUUUCUUCAAAAACACCGAAACCCGCCAAAAACAUGGUGUAAAAGAUAAAUAUGUUCAUACAUACUUUAAAUCAGAUAACUGAAGUAUAAAAUUACUUUUACAGUGACACUUAGGCCCCUAACUGACCAAGAAGGUGUAGGGCUACGAACCCUUACUUUUUAGGAUGCAACUCCGAGAUUAAUUCUCGUCUUAAUCAACUAUCAACAAACUGUCCUG